ensembl:snoRNA SNORD116 Small nucleolar RNA SNORD116
GGAUCGAUGAUGACAGAUAAAUAUACAUUCCUUGGGAAGGCUGAACAAAAUGAUUGAGAAAUCUCUACCGUCUCCUCUCAUCGAACUGAGGUCC